rnacentral:miRNA from 14 species
CGCUGGCUUUUUCCACGGUGAUA